GCCAAAUCAUAUUGAAACACCAGUUCUCGUGUGAUCACCAAAGUUAAGCAACAUCAAGCCUGGUCAGUACCUAGAUGGGUGACUACUUGGGAAUACCAGGUGCU